rnacentral:rRNA from 1 species
GACGAACGCUGGCGGCGUGCCUAAUACAUGCAAGUAGAACGCUGAAGAGAGGAGCUUGCUCUUCUUGGAUGAGUUGCGAACGGGUGAGUAACGCGUAGGUAACCUGCCUUGUAGCGGGGGAUAACUAUUGGAAACGAUAGCUAAUACCGCAUAACAAUGGAUGACACAUGUCAUUUAUUUGAAAGGGGCAAUUGCUCCACUACAAGAUGGACCUGCGUUGUAUUAGCUAGUAGGUGAGGUAACGGCUCACCUAGGCGACGAUACAUAGCCGACCUGAGAGGGUGAUCGGCCACACUGGGACUGAGACACGGCCCAGACUCCUACGGGAGGCAGCAGUAGGGAAUCUUCGGCAAUGGGGGCAACCCUGACCGAGCAACGCCGCGUGAGUGAAGAAGGUUUUCGGAUCGUAAAGCUCUGUUGUAAGUCAAGAACGAGUGUGAGAGUGGAAAGUUCACACUGUGACGGUAGCUUACCAGAAAGGGACGGCUAACUACGUGCCAGCAGCCGCCGUAA